CUACUCGGGUAUCUAAUCCUGUUUGCUCCCCACGCUUUCGCACCUCAGCGUCAGUAUCGAGCCAGUGAGCCGCCUUCGCCACUGGUGUUCCUCCGAAUAUCUACGAAUUUCACCUCUACACUCGGAAUUCCACUCACCUCUCUCGAACUCUAGACUACCAGUAUCGGAGGCAGUUCCGGGGUUGAGCCCCGGGAUUUCACCCUCGACUUAAUAGUCCGCCUACGCGCGCUUUACGCCCAGUAAUUCCGAACAACGCUAACCCCCUCCGUAUUACCGCGGCUGCUGGCAC
rnacentral:rRNA from 1 species